CUCAAAUGAAUUGACGGGGACCCGCACAAGCGGUGGAGCAUGUGGUUUAAUUCGACGAUACGCGAAGAACCUUACCUGGCCUUGACAUACUAAAAAGCUUUAAGAGAUUAGAGUGUGCUAGCUUGCUAGAAUUUAGAUACAGGUGCUGCACGGCUGUCGUCAGCUCGUGUCGUGAGAUGUUGGGUUAAGUCCCGCAACGAGCGCAACCUCGUGUUUAGUUGCUAACAGUUCGGCUGAGAACUCUAAACAGACUGCCUACGCAAGUAGGAGGAAGGUGAGGACGACGUCAAGUCAUCAUGGCCCUUACGGCCAGGGCUACACACGUGCUACAAUGGGGUAUACAAAGAGCAGCGAUACGGUGACGUGGAGCAAAUCUAGAAAAUGCCUCUCAGUUCGGAUUGUAGUCUGCAACUCGACUACAUGAAGUUGGAAUCGCUAGUAAUCGUAGAUCAGCAAUGCUACGGUGAAUACGUUCCCGGGUCUU
rnacentral:rRNA from 1 species